rnacentral:sRNA from 1 species
GCCCCCUGCGAUAGUGGUGAUGAUUAUUAUUGCGGUUUUGGAGCAGGUUAAAGUGUAAGGUGUUUUUGCAAACAUGAUGCCCCUGAUAGGUUUGCUGCCUCUCAUAUUGCGCCACUCUCUCUAGUUGAAGGCGCAUUUACUCAAAUAUCAAUGGAAACUAUCCAUCAGACAAUCGAUCAUCCUCACCAUCACCCUUCAUUCUAACGUAUGUGAUUGAUCCUCUAUUCAAUAUUACCAUCCUAUCAACUGCCAAGAACCUACCCUGCCCUAUAUUUAUGAGGUUUACCACAAAUCCUUCGAAGAGAAUCGCCUAAGACCACACGCCAGAUGGGGAAGGAACUAUUGGUUUUGAUGUUUUGAGGUUUACAAGGCGGGAUAUUGUGGAAUGUUUUUAGGGAGGAUAGGGGCGAGAAGACGGAUGAAGAAGAUGAUGAUAGUUGAAGAAGUAGGGGGAUAAGGAAUAAUUUCAAUGAAGGAAUGGGAGUGGGAAUGGGGUUUGAUGGGAUAACCAGGCAAGAUUUGUAUAUAAUAUCCAGGACCACUACAUGGUGUUUUGUGUUUUGGGUCUUUGUGGCCAGGGGGGUUGCUGGCAUCAGUAUCGCCCACACCUAUUUAAGCAGUGCCUGCGACCGCUAGAUAGUUACAAUGACCCAUUAGGCAUACCCUCUGAUAGGGGAGAACCAUUCGCCGAAACUUCGACCACAGGAGGUGACUGAGAUUGGGCUAUUUGGCCCGUCUGAUCUGAGCAGCUUAGCUCCUGGCG